CAAAGGCGCCGGCAUGUUUGUGGCAGGUUCGCCUGUGUUUCCAUGUUCAAUCGGGAGUUCGAGCUUCACUGAAAUUAUGUUGUUCAUGUGGAGUAUCGAGUACUGCCCGAGUGGUUUCUCGUGGCUUUAAGAGCUAAGACUGACGAAGUCUCCAGCUGGAUUGCUGGCUUGAUCCACUCGCGCUGAGUGCCCUGGUAAAGGACUGAAUGUGGUCGCGGUUUCCCCCCUGCCGCGGUUGGAAGUGUGUGUGUCUCAUCGGUCGGGGUGUUGACCCCUUCGUCGAUGUAGCUGUUUGACGCGGCGGGCUGCUGUUUAGUUUGGGUAGACUGAACUGAUAAGAUACGCCGAGUGCUUGGGUGUGCGUAACGUGGUUGGAACUGGUUGUGUGAGUGGGGUUGCGUGCCUGUUUAACGAGUUUUGUUUUGAUUUUGAUGCGCUCUGAACGAGUGUAGCCUACCCCCUGUCCUGUAUUGUGGUUAACUGUGUUUUGUUUGUUAUUUUUCUGAUUCUAUGUAAUUGACCACACUGGUGCCCAGUCGUUUCCCAUUCCCUGGAUAACCCAUCUCCCCUGAGCUUCCUGGUUGCAGUGGCGUGUAGUGCAAGGUGCCCUUGGUGCCAUAGCGUGAAUUGGUUGCAGUCUCAACGGUGUGGGUUGAUCUGUGUGUCCUUAACUAGCUAGCCUGUUUGCUGUGCAUUGGGGUGGUUACGGUACUUUAUAUUUAAUUAGAGGCUCAGGGGGUAUGGGCAUUCUGUGGUCAUCGGGGAUAACAGACCAGUGAUGGUGUGAAUUUUGUCGCUGUACUGUAUUUGUUUCUGUUCUGUUUGUGUAUGUCCUAUCCCAACUGUCUGGGUUACUGAACCCCUUUUUACACACUAAUUAUAUAUUUUUAUAAGAACUGGAAAUAAUAAAAAUAAGAGAAUCAACUGUU